GCACGGCUUGAUGAGUGGUGUGAAAUUCGGCACCCAGGGUCUGAACAUGCGAACCCCGGGCUGCAAAAGUAGAGUGCGAACUUAACCACUAUGCCACUGGUCCAGCUCCACCUAGCACGGUUUUUAUGCAAAUAGAGGUAGUCGUGUUUUCCUCUAAAAGGGAGAGAUAAAUAUUCCACUAAUGCACAAAGCUCCCCUGAGCCCACAUUAGGAGGUAAAGUGAAUAAGGUAGAUAAGUUCAGAGGUGACCCUAGAAGACAGAAAUAAUCUCUGAAGUCUAUCUUCCUAUGACUGUCAGCAGCACCGGCCUUUUUUUACAUACCUGGCUCUUGGGAAAAUAAUGGAAUAGAGUGUUUUCUCCUGACUCCCUGGCUCUGCUUUCAUAUUCUGCAUCAUCCCUUGUCAACAAUACCAUAAAAGUCCCCGACAAAGAUCCAUCUUUUGUUCUACACCCCACACCCACCUCCAAUAAACAUAUCAGUCCCUGUGGGGACGGGUAAAUGGAUUCCAAUGUACACAGUAUUCAAGGACGAAAUGUCUGGCUCAUUCAAAUCAAGGUUUCCUCCAACUGGAAGCAGUCCUUCAAAAUGAGUCUGAUGGGGAAACUUGAUACUGGAGGAUGUCCCAAACAUGCAAUAGUCUACGGAUUUAUGGAGGGCUUAUUAUGUGCCAGGUGUUGUGGCAGAUGCCAGGUGGAAGGGCAAGUAGGACACAGGUCCCACCCUCCCGGACCUCAGAGGCUCAGGAGGAGAGUUACAGGGCAUUGUAAUAAGAGUCACGAGGAAGGGCCCUAACCAGGGUGGAGAGCUCAGGGAAGGUGUCUCAGGAGAGGCCUCAUCAAAGCUGAGACAAGAGGGGUAAGGAGGACUCAGUCAGGCAGUGAGUGGGGAUUUGAGGCAGCAUUAUGUGCAACGGCCUUGGGAUGAGCAAGCCAUGGCUCUUUCCUCCUCUCCUACGACUUCCUUUCCAAGUGGGACCUGGUGGAGAUCAUUCUGGUAAGCAGUGAUUUGAAUGCAGUGCAGGGGCAGUAGGAGUUGGAGGCGCUCAGGAGCGAGUGGAAGUGUGGAGUCCCUCACAUCACAACACAUGGACGUGUGCCUGCUCAAGGUCUGUGCAAGGUCGGGGGCGGGGGGCACCAGGGAAGAGUCGAGAAACUAAACGCCUUCUCUCCCUAGGACCCCCAAGCUUAUUCCAGGCACACUGCAUACAUUGCUUGGAAACCUCAGAAAAUAUCAUGGCAAUGGGAGCUUCGAGGGAAAGGUCUCGAAAUGUCAAUGAGUCAGAAGCACAUAUGACUCUUGGAGUUGGAGAAAAUAUGAUUUUUGAAGUAAAAAAGGCAAAACCACAAACCACAUCAACAACAAUAACAACAAGGAAUGUGUCCCAAGGAGGCCCCACUGGGCAGUACAAAUGCUUCCAUUAAUGAGGUCGGGAAAGGGAGGCCUCACAAAAAAUUCUGUCCCACUCUGAAUAGCCAGCUGACCCUUUCCCACAGGACACUGACCACAAGCAAAGCAAAAGCAACUGGCAUUCUUGACGAACUUCUUGAGAAGAAGACUCACUGGGCCCUGAAGAAAGUGCUGCCCAAGCCCCUCUUGUUUCUCUGAAGUGAACCUUGUGGGGAGGGAGGGGCAGACACUCAACACUCCAGGGACAGGGGUUCAAGUCCCAGCUCAGCCACUUCACCAUGGGGAAACCUCAAGCUAGUCAUGCACUGGCUCUGAGUCAUGGUAUCCCAGUGACCAUGAAUAUGUAUGAUAAUCCUUCCUUCUUAAAGUCAUUGUGAGGGUCCACGGCGUUGUAAACCACCAGAAAACCUACAAAUGCUACUUGUAAGUGAAGGGAGGGUGUGCAUAAACCGUAAUCACCACCCCGAAAGGCAGGAACAAGGAUCUCAACCGGUCCCCUCUGCCGUGGCACACAGCAUCUAGGAGGCCUGCAGCACAGCUUGUCUUUGGACAGAAAGAGCUCAGUCUUGGGUGAGUUCGGGAGAAGCACAUGCAGGGCCAGAUGCAGCUGUGACAGGUUUCCGCAUAUCUCAUCAGAUAGCCUUCUUUCUCUCAUCUUCUCUGCGUCUCCCCUCCUCAGCUCCCUGGGGUCCCUGUGCCUGGAACCUGGCUAGGAGCCUCUCGUGGGGGUCUCUCCCUACCUACAGGGUGGAGGAAGGCCCCCAGGUUUAGGACUUUCAGAGACUUCAGAGGGCAGCACCCAUGACACCCACCUUUCUCCGGCUCCCUUGACUGCCUUUGGCAGUGUCGUUUCAGCGUGCGAUUGUGCUAAAAGACUUCUGUCCCAUGAGGAAGAAACGAGAUGGAUGAGGCAGGUGGAAAGCCUGUCUCGCUGUAUGAGAAAAAUCAUGGUAGAAGAGGGCAUGAAAAGAAGGCAAAAUAAGGACAUGGAAAAUUCCUGAUAAAGACUGCGCGAAGCCUGAAGACGCGAUCACCUUCUUUCACAGUCAUUCCCAAUCCUUUGACACGUGCUGCUGUGGGGCCUGAGGCACUCGCAGCAGAGCCUGAAGGUUUUAGGGCUGAAACAAAAUGCAGUGGCCAAGGAAAACUCUUCUCGGAUUCUACCGCCUCUCUACGCACGCAUCACCUCUCACACCUCACACCACAGCCCCGAGGAGACCGAGGAGCACCCGAGCCACACACCCGAACUUCUUGUUGCUUGAAAGCAUUGAGCCUGGCUUCCUCCCCAAUUCAAACUGCAUGAUCUGACCUACAACUACGAGUGCUUGUCCUCGGUACUGACAAAGGAUGGGUGGUAGGCACAGGGACUCCAGAAACGGAGAAACAGGUAUGAAAGUGGAGCGCUUGUCCUUCCUGCAGGAUGGGGGAGUGGCUAAAAGUUUGGAUUCUGGAGUCAGACUGAGAAGGUCCAAAUUCCACCUCCUCUGCUUCUUGUCGGGGUGACCUGCUUUCUCAACCACCUGAGCCCUCCGAUCCGUCUCUGUCAGUGGGAUAAGCAGACUUUGUGUGCUUCUUCAGGUGAUGCAACGUAAAAUACACAGCGCCAACUCCCACACAUUUUUGCCUUAAAAAUAAAAAUUGGCCCUGAAACUAAUCAGGUCUCUAGCUCUCUUACCAAGUCACAGGAAAUACAGGGGACUGAGGAACAAAUUAAGCAACACUACGAAGAAGCAAGCAGCGGAGCCCCGAACGUGGAACAUUCUGUAAGAUAAACGACCUGGUGUCUUCAACAAGUCAACAGCAUGGAAAAGGGAAAAAAUGAGGAGUGGGAACUGUUAAGGAAUAAAAGAGACCUAAAAGAGAGAGAUGCCUUAAAAACAGCCCUAAAGAGACAUCUGUGAGAGAAUGAACCUAAUAGUAAGGAAUAGCUGUUCAUUUUGUGAGGUUGGAUAAGGGCGUGGUGGUUAUAUUCCAAAAAGUCCUUACCGAUUACAGGUGCACACUGAAGUAUUUGUGGUGAAAGGAUGUGUGUCUGAGAUUCAUAGGGUCAGGGAGGAAUAUUAAAAUAGUUGGAGCUGGACGAUGAGUGCCUGUGUUUUCAUUAUAUUCCUCUGUCUAUAUCGUGUAUUUUUGAAAUUUUUUAUAAUAAAAAGUUUUGAUAUGGUCA